rnacentral:rRNA from 1 species
AUUGAACGCUGGCGGCAGGCCUAACACAUGCAAGUCGAGCGGAUGAGAGGAGCUUGCUUCUCGAUUCAGCGGCGGACGGGUGAGUAAUGCCUAGGAAUCUGCCUGGUAGUGGGGGACAACGUUUCGAAAGGAACGCUAAUACCGCAUACGUCCUACGGGAGAAAGCAGGGGACCUUCGGGCCUUGCGCUAUCAGAUGAGCCUAGGUCGGAUUAGCUAGUUGGUGAGGUAAUGGCUCACCAAGGCGACGAUCCGUAACUGGUCUGAGAGGAUGAUCAGUCACACUGGAACUGAGACACGGUCCAGACUCCUACGGGAGGCGGCAGUGGGGAAUAUUGGACAAUGGGCGAAAGCCUGAUCCAGCCAUGCCGCGUGUGUGAAGAAGGUCUUCGGAUUGUAAAGCACUUUAAGUUGGGAGGAAGGGUUGUAGAUUAAUACUCUGCAAUUUUGACGUUACCGACAGAAUAAGCACCGGCUAACUCUGUGCCAGCAGCCGCCGUAAUAC